rnacentral:rRNA from 1 species
AUUGAACGCUGGCGGCAGGCCUAACACAUGCAAGUCGAACGAGUGGCGGACGGGUGAGUAAUGUCUGGGAAACUGCCUGAUGGAGGGGGAUCACUACUGGAAACGGUAGCUAAUACCGCAUACCAUCGGAUGUGCCCAGAUGGGAUUAGCUAGUAGGUGGGGUAAAGGCUCACCUAGGCGACGAUCCCUAGCUGGUCUGAGAGGAUGACCAGCCACACGGGACCUGGGACACGUUCCAGAAUCCUACGGGAGGCAGCAGUGGGGAAUAUUGCACAAUGGGCGCAAGCCUGAUGCAGCCAUGCCGCGUGUAUGAAGAAGUCCUGCGGGUUGUAAAGUACUUUCAGCGGGGAGGCGUUACCCGCAGAAGUGGCACCGGCUAACACCGUGCCAGCAGCCGCGGUAAUUC